CAGAGAAUAGUUUAUGUAAAAUAUUAGUUUUGGAGACUAUUGAAAAGAAUUCUUUUCUCUGA
rnacentral:tRNA from 1 species